GAUGAACGCUGGCGGCGUGCCUAAUACAUGCAAGUCGAGCGAACAGACGCGGCGCUUGCUCCUCUGACGUUAGCGGCGCACGGGUGAGUAACGCGUGGAUACCCUCCCUAUCAGACUGGUAUCACUUCGGAAAACCGGCGCUAAUACCGUAUAAUCUAUUGCACCACAUUGUUCAAUAGUGAAAUACGGUUUUGCUGUCACUUAUAGAUGGUUCCGCGCCGCAUUAGCUAGUUGGUAAGGUAACGGCUUACCAAGGCAACGAUGCGUAGCCGACCUGAGAGGGUGAUCGGCGACACUGGAACUGAGACACGGUCCAGACUCCUAAGGGAGGCAGCAGUAGGGAAUCUUCCGCAAUGGGCGAAAGCCUGACGGAGCAACGCCGCGUGAGUGAUGAAGGUCUUCGGAUCGUAAAACUCUGUUAUUAGGGAAGAACAAAUGUGUAAGUAACUAUGCACGUCUUGACGGUACCGAAUCAGAAAGCCACGGCUAACUACGUG
rnacentral:rRNA from 1 species